UACGGAGGGUGCGAGCGUUGUCCGGAAUCACUGGGCGUAAAGGGCGCGUAGGCGGCGCGGGUAGUCAUCGGUGAAAGUUCAGGGCUCAACUCUGAAUCGGCCGGUGAUACUCCCCGUGCUCGAGCACUGUAGAGGCAGGUGGGAAUUCCGGGUGUAGCGGUGGAAUGCGUAGAGAUCCGGAAGAACACCGGUGGCGAAGGCGGCCUGCUGGGCAGUAGCUGACACUGAGGCGCGACAGCGUGGGGAGCAAACAG
rnacentral:rRNA from 1 species